UACGUAGGUGACAAGCGUUGUCCGGAUUUACUGGCGUAAAGAGCGCGCAGGCGGUCGUUCAAGUCGAGUGUGAAAGCCCCCGGCUCAACUGGGGAGGGUCAUUCGAUACUGAUCGACUCGAAGGCAGGAGAGGGAAGUGGGAAUUCCCGGGUGUAGUGGUGAAAUGCGUAGAUAUCGGGAGGAACACCAGUGGCGAAGGCGGACUUCCUGGCCUGUUCUUGACGCUGAGGCGGCGAAAGCUAGGGGAGCAAACGGGG
rnacentral:rRNA from 1 species